CGGAGGUUGCUGGUGCCUGGCGCCGGGCUGGACGUUAGUCUUUGCUCGAAGGCUUGAAUGAAGAGAGCCUCUCCUUUCCCUAAAAUUUUAAGUGAGAUAGCUUCUUUGCAGUUCAAGGCGACCGACACCAUUUGGACCAAUGUUGUUUAGCCAAACACUGUUCUGGACCUUGAGGUUUGCAAAUGUGAUCCAUUUGGAAGCCUUAGAAUAACUCUUACCCUGUGGGAGAAAGAGCAUGGGGAAGGUGACCUGUCUUGGGCAGGGGAUGUGGAGACCAUAAGUGGAUCCGUCAAGUCCUGCUGGGCCAGUCGAUUGAUGUCUGAGAUAUAUCCAAAGUAAAGUGAGAAAUGGAGACAGUGGCUGACAUCACUGAACGCCAAACUAAAUGACCAAACCUUUGUGCACUGUGAUUUCAGAUACUUUGAUUUUUGCAGUCAACUCAAUUAUUGAGCACCUAAUAUUCAACCGGAGACAUGCUUCUUGACUUUCAUUUAAUCUCAUUAAAUACCCAACUGUCCUGAUUGUGCAGGUGCCCCAUCUGUGAUAAGUGCAACCAGCUUUUCCAUGUCUAAACCAAACUUCUCAAAUUUCUCCCAGGCAGAUGGUUAAGUUCUAUCCAUUCAUGCGUCCUGGCUAAUUGGGUAAAACAUUCUUUCCCAUAAAUAUCACAGCCAGAAUGCUGGCAAGGGUAUCACGUGACAGUAUGUCUCCACAACCGGAAAGACAGACAUAAAAGAACAUUAUCCACAAACUCAGGUAAUGGAUGCAAUGAAAAUAUAUGCACAAUGUGGCAGUGCAAUGCACAAGUUAAAAGGAAGAAAUGCAGAGGACAAGGUUUUGUUCCUUUCUGACUGUGUGACUUUGUAAGUCACCUGAACAAACUCUCUUGAUCUCAGUUUCAUCUUCUGUACAGGAUAAUGACAUUAAUAUCAAUCUUACAAUGUUACUUUGAUAAUUAAAUGAGUUCAUGCAUGUG